rnacentral:rRNA from 1 species
GACGAACGCUGGCGGCGUGCUUAACACAUGCAAGUCGAACGGAAAGGCCCUGCUUUUGUGGGGUGCUCGAGUGGCGAACGGGUGAGUAACACGUGAGUAACCUGCCCUUGACUUUGGGAUAACUUCAGGAAACUGGGGCUAAUACCGGAUAGAAUCUCCUGCUGCAUGUUGUGGGUUGGAAAGUUUCGGCGGUUGGGGAUGGACUCGCGGCUUAUCAGCUUGUUGGUGGGGUAGUGGCUUACCAAGGCUUUGACGGGUAGCCGGCCUGAGAGGGUGACCGGCCACAUUGGGACUGAGAUACGGCCCAGACUCCUACGGGAGGCAGCAGUGGGGAAUAUUGCACAAUGGGCGGAAGCCUGAUGCAGCAACGCCGCGUGCGGGAUGACGGCCUUCGGGUUGUAAACAGAUUUCGCCUGUGACGAAGAGUGAGUGACGGUAAUGGGUAAAGAAGCACCGGCUAACUACGUG